rnacentral:lncRNA from 1 species
AUCUGCUAUCUGUAAUUUAAUUGGACUUUGAUAUGAUGCUAUUCUUCAGAUAUCAUGACCAAAAGAUAAUAUUUCACUAGCUGACUAUUGUUGUGUUCUGACAACCCUGUCCCUGUUGGCAUCAGCUCGAGGUUUGCUGCCUUGUUUUCGCAGCUGAGGAGCAAGAUUUUUUUUACUUCAUCAGCUAUUAAAUCAAUAUUUGGACAAGAGGUUGAUAAACAGGAUGCAGUAGAUGAUCUAUCCAAUUCCUGUAGACAGUGUGGAAUACAAUAUAUUUGUUUGUUCAGUAGCUGUAUCAAAUCUUUAGCUCAUAUUCUUUGUUCUAAAAGCUAACAAAAUGGAGUAACUUAGUGAAAGGAUGGUCAUUGUGUGAGACCUUUACAUGACAUAGAAUUGAUCUAAUUUAUAAUCAUAACAAUCUCGAGGGUGACUAUUGUGUGAUUAGUUCCCUCCCAAACAUAUGCAAUUAUGUACUCCCGUGAAGGUAAUACUUUUCUCUUACCUUUUGGAUUGACAUUAUUCAGGUGUUGGCAAUUAGUGAGUCAUUAAGACUGCAUUCUUUGUGGCAAAAGAAAAGUGUUCAUAAGGGGACUCAUUGUGAGUCGAGUUCUACCACCCAAACUCCAUAAGAGGGUUUUGACCAACUUAACCGAUGUCUCAUCCUUGGAAUAGUAAGCAAUUAAUUUCCUAUUUGACUGUGAACUAUAUGCGUAUAGGAGAAAUGGAAGGCAUGGCCUUGGAUCAGCUAGCUUUGCUUCAUAGCAGUCAUGUCCACACCGAAAGACAAUUUUGUAGCUUGAUUUUGUAGCCUUGGUGCAGGUUGUUUAGCUUAUUUAUGUUUGUCAUUUACAGACUAUAUAACAGGUUAUUUGGUGAGGUUGCUAUGGAUGACACUCAAACUUAUUUUUGGGGUCCUGCAUCCGAUCCUGUAGGAACUUGUUAGGCUCUUAUGAUGCAUUUGGUCUGUGCUACACAUUGUUUCUUCUUAUUACUUCUAGCCUGCAUCAAGAAACUUGCCUUGUGGAAUGUUGAUGUGCUCUUGAUUUCUUUGGAUUAUGAAUUUUUCUGUCAACUGUAAGUAAUAUUUAGUUAACAAAAAAAUAUGUGUCAUUUUGGUGUGCAGACAAUCAGACAGGAUAACAAGCAGAGGAGGAUUAGUCUGUUGGAGCUUCCUACACUAAAUAU